AAAUUGAAGAGUUUGAUCAUGGCUCAGAUUGAACGCUGGCGGCAGGCCUAACACAUGCAAGUCGAGCGGUAGCACAGAGAGCUUGCUCUCGGGUGACGAGCGGCGGACGGGUGAGUAAUGUCUGGGAAACUGCCUGAUGGAGGGGGAUAACUACUGGAAACGGUAGCUAAUACCGCAUAAUGUCGCAAGACCAAAGUGGGGGACCUUCGGGCCUCAUGCCAUCAGAUGUGCCCAGAUGGGAUUAGCUAGUAGGUGGGGUAAUGGCUCACCUAGGCGACGAUCCCUAGCUGGUCUGAGAGGAUGACCAGCCACACUGGAACUGAGACACGGUCCAGACUCCUACGGGAGGCAGCAGUGGGGAAUAUUGCACAAUGGGCGCAAGCCUGAUGCAGCCAUGCCGCGUGUGUGAAGAAGGCCUUCGGGUUGUAAAGCACUUUCAGCGGGGAGGAAGGCGUUAAGGUUAAUAACCUUGUCGAUUGACGUUACCCGCAGAAGAAGCACCGGCUAACUCCGUGCCAGCAGCCGCGGUAAUACGGAGGGUGCAAGCGUUAAUCGGAAUUACUGGGCGUAAAGCGCACGCAGGCGGUCUGUCAAGUCGGAUGUGAAAUCCCCGGGCUCAACCUGGGAACUGCAUUCGAAACUGGCAGGCUAGAGUCUUGUAGAGGGGGGUAGAAUUCCAGGUGUAGCGGUGAAAUGCGUAGAGAUCUGGAGGAAUACCGGUGGCGAAGGCGGCCCCCUGGACAAAGACUGACGCUCAGGUGCGAAAGCGUGGGGAGCAAACAGGAUUAGAUACCCUGGUAGUCCACGCCGUAAACGAUGUCGAUUUGGAGGUUGUGCCCUUGAGGCGUGGCUUCCGGAGCUAACGCGUUAAAUCGACCGCCUGGGGAGUACGGCCGCAAGGUUAAAACUCAAAUGAAUUGACGGGGGCCCGCACAAGCGGUGGAGCAUGUGGUUUAAUUCGAUGCAACGCGAAGAACCUUACCUGGUCUUGACAUCCACAGAACUUUCCAGAGAUGGAUUGGUGCCUUCGGGAACUGUGAGACAGGUGCUGCAUGGCUGUCGUCAGCUCGUGUUGUGAAAUGUUGGGUUAAGUCCCGCAACGAGCGCAACCCUUAUCCUUUGUUGCCAGCGGUUCGGCCGGGAACUCAAAGGAGACUGCCAGUGAUAAACUGGAGGAAGGUGGGGAUGACGUCAAGUCAUCAUGGCCCUUACGACCAGGGCUACACACGUGCUACAAUGGCAUAUACAAAGAGAAGCGACCUCGCGAGAGCAAGCGGACCUCAUAAAGUAUGUCGUAGUCCGGAUUGGAGUCUGCAACUCGACUCCAUGAAGUCGGAAUCGCUAGUAAUCGUAGAUCAGAAUGCUACGGUGAAUACGUUCCCGGGCCUUGUACACACCGCCCGUCACACCAUGGGAGUGGGUUGCAAAAGAAGUAGGUAGCUUAACCUUCGGGAGGGCGCUUACCACUUUGUGAUUCAUGACUGGGGUGAAGUCGUAACAAGGUAACCGUAGGGGAACCUGCGGUUGGAUCACCUCCUUACCUUAAAGAA
rnacentral:rRNA from 1 species